GACGAACGCUGGCGGCGUGCUUAACACAUGCAAGUCGAACGGAAAGGCCCUGCUUUUGUGGGGUGCUCGAGUGGCGAACGGGUGAGUAACACGUGAGUAACCUGCCCUUGACUUUGGGAUAACUUCACGAAACUGGGGCUAAUACCGGAUAGGAGCUCCUGCUGCAUGGUGGUGGUUGGAAAGUUUCGGCGGUUGGGGAUGGACUCGCGGCUUAUCAGCUUGUUGGUGGGGUAGUGGCUUACCAAGGCUUUGACGGGUAGCCGGCCUGAGAGGGUAACCGGCCACAUUGGGACUGAGAUACGGCCCAGACUCCUACGGGAGGCAGCAGUGGGGAAUAUUGCACAAUGGGCGGAAGCCUGAUGCAGCAACGCCGCGUGCGGGAUGACGGCCUUCGGGUUGUAUACCGCUUUCGCCUGUGACGAAGCGUGAGUGACGGUAAUGGGUAAAGAAGCACCGGCUAACUACGUG
rnacentral:rRNA from 1 species